rnacentral:lncRNA from 1 species
CGGGGACGUACAGUAAUGUCAUGAACUAGUGAGUAAUUUCUUGAUUCUGCAAUAUCACCUAGGGAUAGGGGUAUGAUGAUCAAUUGUGUUUAACUUCUGCUCUAUAAUGUUGUAUAAUUGCUAGGGGAGGCUAGGGAUAGCAAGUUAGUAGUUAAUAUUAGGCUCUUUUCGUCGAGGGAUCGGGUUAAGGGUAGGCUAAGAAAGUUGCAUGACAAUUAAUUAAUCAAGCUAAUAAUUCAAGAGGAGUAGAUAAGAGAGAGCGGAUAAAGAUGAAAUUGUAAACCCCAACAACUCCAUUCAUCCAUUGUUUUCUUCUUGUCAUUUGAAUCAAUCUCUUUCGCAUGUUAAUAUUUUAUUUUUAUUCUCUUAAUCAAUUUAUAAAUUUUUAUUUUCAAGUCUUAUAAUUUUAAUUCACGUGAACGAGAAAGCCUUUCGAGUCUCUUGGAAAGAACGAUAUUGGGUUUUACCAAUUAUAUUACUUGAACAAUUUUGGUACGCUUGCCAAUUCGUCAACAAGUUUUUGGCGCCGUUGCCGGGGACUCGAGGUUUAUUUUUCUAGUAGUGUGGAUUAAUUGAAUUUGACUUGGUUG